GAACAAGUUAGGGGGGGUGUGCUUGUAGAGAGCCGAUGAUUAAGAAGCACCUGUUCUGUGGCUCAGAGGAGUAGGGCGCCGGCCCCAUAUGCCAAAGGUGGCAGGUUCAAACCCAGCCCCAGCCAAAAACUGAAAAAAAAAAAAAAGAAGCACUUGUUCAUCUCCAGUUUAACUUAGAGUUGUUCAAAAGACUUUCCCAAUACACUUGAGUCUGGACUGCAGAAAACUCCAGGAACCCAACCAUAUAUCCUCUUAUUCUGUGCUUCUUAGCAUUAAGAUUUCUUAAUUCAACUUUCUCUUAUUUUUUAGAAGAAAUUUUACCUUGACUUUUAGAAGUGACAUAGCUAUUUGUAGGUAUGAAAAUUGUCAUAUUUAUUUAGUGCUUUUCUUCCUUACAUUCUAUAAGAAGACUCUGGCCUAGCCCAUGUGGCUCAUAGAAAUGCAAACUAUAAUUGGUAUGUUGCUCCAGCUACACAGACCUCGUUUUACCCUAAAGAAUGUGCAGACAUGAAUAAUAUGCUACUUUAUAUCCCUGUGUUUCUUUGCAUAAUGCUUAAGUGUUCUAAACACUAGAAGUUGCUUCUCUCCAUCCUUUUCACAUCCUAUAUGAGCAUUGAUGCCAACUAUUAGGCAAAUUCAUAUUUAUGCUUGAAAACUAAAGGGAGACGUUGCCUCCUUGAAGCCUGUGUUGUAAUCUCCCAUGUAUUUUCACUUGCUGUUUCACUCUUCUCUCCUGCAACUUUUUGAGAAUAUGUAUGUCUCCUCUAUAAGAAUUGGGGCAUCACACUGGCAUUCUUUGUCUUAUUUUUCUUAGUUCCCAGCUCAUAAAAUUGCUCAAUAAUGAAUUAAUAAGUGAACAUAUAAUUUGGCUUCAGAAUAUGUGACAUUAUGACCUUGUAUGAGUCAUCUACCAUCGCAGUGAUUGAGUACUUCUCUAUCUGUAACUGAGUGGAAGUUAUUGCUGCUUGCUCUCGUUGCUACUUCUCUGAAAUUUAAUCAUUUAGCCAUCAAAAAACACUUAGAAGAUAAGGGAUAUGAAACAAUGGUACAUGGUAACAAAAUCUCAAGGCAUCCUAAAGAGACCUGCCAAUCAGUAAAAAGUCAUGGAAUGCAGCUUCGAGCACCAGAUGUUCUGACAGCUGCAGAAUCUUGUCUGCAUGUCAUACUGGUGGCAGGGAUCCUGGGGACCCAGCUAUGAGCCAUGCUGAUGGAUGUUCAUAGUUUCAGCUCUGCUCGCACCUGUUUGGAAGUAUCACUGAAAGGUGAACAUAUAACCCUGCUGCACUUGGCUCUGAUAUUCAAUUUCACAUGUGUUCUUUAUUUACCUACAACAGUUGGAAACCUUUUAUAGUUGUGAAUUCUAACAUCACAGGAAUUCAAGGCUAGGAUUGUCUAUAACAGGCUGACAUUAGCCCUGGAAUGUAGUAGUCUAUUUCUGAGCCUUUCCAGGCAUCUGUGCAUGAAUCAACUUGCUACCUAAAGGUUUCUCCAUUACACACUUUUAGCUUUGUCAUAUAUACUGAGUCAGUUACCACUUGUCUAUAUUCUUUGCAGCAUUUAUAAUUAAUUAACAUUUAAAUCGACUUUUAUCUCUUUACUAAUUUUCCAGUUGGAUGCUUUAUCCCUUCACAUUGUCCACCUCUUUAUUCCUAUACCGCAAGCAAUUUUAGUGGGGUUUAGGGAGGAGGUGAGGUAACUAUAUUUGUUUACAUUAACAUGUUUAUUUAGUAAAGAAUCUUCUUGUAUCUUUGGUUCCUGAUUCUCAAACAUUUCUUGAAUUAGAAUCAGAAGCCACAGAGUGUAUCAAAGAGAAAUUGGGUUCUGGGAAACUUUACUUUCUCCUAAACUAUAGUAUAUUUGUCCACCUUAGAAUAAAACUGUAUCAGGCCCCUAAGUGACCAACAAUGAGGACUCUUCAUCUACUUCUCAUGCAUUUUUCAUAUGAAAUCUGACAGACGAAAGCAACAAGAUUUCUAGUCUGUUCAUAUUCUUGUAAUAGUACUGAAAAUUCCUACUCCAUCCCCUGUUGCUAAAAAAAUAAUACUAAUAACAAUUCCCAGAUGAUGUAGUCUAUUAGAACAAUCAGCUCGGUAUCAUAUAAAAAUAAGAUGUCAAUGGCUUCAAUUGUAUUUUUCUCCUCCUUAUCUUCCUCCACCUUUUAAAAUUUUUGUUUCUUCUUCUAGUACUGGUUCCUGGUUAUAACUGAAAUAAGAUUGUCCAAAGAGGAUAUUUAAACCUGUUUAAAAUCUUGAAAAAUUUAAACAGAAUUCAGAAGAGAGGAAAAAUGAGAAGCUAAAUAAUACAUCUUCUAGCCCAUAAUUGGACAUCAAAAUGUGGCUUUGUAACAGCAAAGACAGGAGACUUUUCCAGAGCUACCUGCCAGAUAAGUGACAUUCACCAUUUCCAAAAUUUAUAUGAGACUGAUUUCAGGGAUAUCACAUGCUUGAUACAUUUCACAAAGACAUCUGGCUGAAGGCCAACCACAUAUCGAUGCAGCUGUGUCCCACCAAAGAGAUGGAGUGUUAUUCCAAAUGCUUCCAAAGUUGCCUUGUGGGCUCGGGAUGACCACAGCUCUUUUGGGUGCCUUCCUGUGGCCUCUGGCCCUGUAGUUUCUUAAUGAAGGAGUACAGCUCAGAUUAGCUUUAUAAAGGUUAACAUUCUAAGUGUGGAUAAAAAUACAUUUUCAAAUUGUAAGAAUUGAGGUAUAUGCUAGAUUCCUGAUGAUUUCUAAACCAUUUGCCUUUGACCAUUUAUAAGUUUCCAAGAUGUGACCAAAUGGAUAGGAAUGAAUAAACAAAUAGAAUUGGUGAAUCAGAGUGAAGCUUGUCACUGUAAUGCUAUCACUUUGCUCCUAC